GACGGACGCUGGCGGCGUGCUUAACACAUGCAAGUCGAGCGGUAAGGCCCUUUCGGGGGUACACGAGCGGCGAACGGGUGAGUAACACGUGGGUGACCUGCCCUCAGCUCUGGGAUAAGCCUGGGAAACUGGGUCUAAUACUGGAUAUGACUCCACGGUGCAUGUCGUGGGGUGGAAAGCCUUGUGCGGCUGAGGAUGGGCCCGCGGCCUAUCAGCUUGUUGGUGGGGUGANGGCCUACCAAGGCGACGACGGGUAGCCGGCCUGAGAGGGCGACCGGCCACACUGGGACUGAGACACGGCCCAGACUCCUACGGGAGGCAGCAGUGGGGAAUCUUGCGCAAUGGGCGAAAGCCUGACGCAGCGACGCCGCGUGAGGGAUGACGGCCU
rnacentral:rRNA from 1 species